rnacentral:rRNA from 3 species
UGGUGGGUAGUUUGACUGGGGCGGUCUCCUCCUAAAGAGUAACGGAGGAGCACGAAGGUUGGCUAAUCCUGGUCGGACAUCAGGAGGUUAGUGCAAUGGCAUAAGCCAGCUUGACUGCGAGCGUGACGGCGCGAGCAGGUGCGAAAGCAGGUCAUAGUGAUCCGGUGGUUCUGAAUGGAAGGGCCAUCGCUCAACGGAUAAAAGGUACUCCGGGGAUAACAGGCUGAUACCGCCCAAGAGUUCAUAUCGACGGCGGUGUUUGGCACCUCGAUGUCGGCUCAUCACAUCCUGGGGCUGAAGUAGGUCCCAAGGGUAUGGCUGUUCGCCAUUUAAAGUGGUACGCGAGCUGGGUUUAGAACGUCGUGAGACAGUUCGGUCCCUAUCUGCCGUGGGCGCUGGAGAACUGAGGGGGGCUGCUCCUAGUACGAGAGGACCGGAGUGGACGCAUCACUGGUGUUCGGGUUGUCAUGCCAAUGGCACUGCCCGGUAGCUAAAUGCGGAAGAGAUAAGUGCUGAAAGCAUCUAAGCACGAAACUUGCCCCGAGAUGAGUUCUCCCUGAGACUUAGAGUCUCCUGAAGGAACGUUGAAGACGACGACGUUGAUAGGCCGGGUGUGUAAGCGCAGCGAUGCGUUGAGCUAACCGGUACUAAUGAACCGU